GCUCAUUUUGGCAGUGCAUACACUAGAAUUGUAACUAUACAGAGAAGAUUAUCAUGGUCUUUGUGCAAGGAUGAUACACAAAUUUGUGAAGCAUUCCAUAUUUUU